ACAAAUGCUGUGAAGGGAAGAGUAAUUAUAUUUUGAAGUCUAAGCGAGCUGGUUAUGGUGGGAGUCCAGUACAGAUUAUAUAGUGAAAAACAUCCUGAAGCUACUAAGAGAAAUCUUUUAUAAGAGAGUAGAUUUAGUCGGAACCAAACCGUUAUCAUAUUGGUGAUGUAUGAUAGUACAUCAAUAGAGUUGAACUUAAUGUGAGUUAAAUUAGGUGGUACCGCGGAAGUACAGUCUUUCGUCCUAAAU
rnacentral:ncRNA from 1 species